rnacentral:rRNA from 1 species
GCAUAUCAAUAAGCGGAGGAAAAGAAACCAACAGGGAUUGCCCUAGUAACGGCGAGUGAAGCGGCAACAGCUCGAAUUUGAAAUCUGGCCUCGGCCCGAGUUGUAAUCUGUAGAGGACGCUUUUGGCGCGGUGCCUUCCGAGUUCCCUGGAACGGGACGCCACAGAGGGUGAGAGCCCCGUAAGGUCGGACACCAAGCCUGUGUAAAGCCCCUUCGACGAGUCGAGUAGCUUGGGAAUGCUGCUCUAAGCGGGAGGUAUACUUCUUCUAAAGCUAAAUAUUGGCCAGAGACCGAUAGCGCACAAGUAGAGUGAUCGAAAGAUGAAAAGCACUUUGAAAAGAGGGUCAAAUAGUACGUGAAAUUGUUGAAAGGGAAGCGCUUGUGAUCAGACUCGCGCCGGGCGGAUCAUCCAGUGGUCUCCACUGGUGCACUCCGGCCGGCGCGGGCCAGCGUCGGCUGUUGCGGGGGGACAAAAGCUCUGGGAACGUGGCUCUCUCCGGGGAGUGUUAUAGCCCUCUGCAGAAUACCCCCGCGGCGGCCGAGGUCCGCGCAUUGCAAGGACGCUGGCGUAAUGGUCAUCAGCGACCCGUCUUGAAACACGGACC